UCCUCUAGAGAUUAGAGUUUGAUCAUGGCUCAGAUUGAACGCUGGUGGCAUGCCUUACACAUGCAAGUCGAACGGCAGCACGGGAGCAAUCCUGGUGGCGAGUGGCGAACGGGUGAGUAAUACAUCGGAACGUGCCCAAUCGUGGGGGAUAACGUAGCGAAAGCUACGCUAAUACCGCAUACGAUCUACGGAUGAAAGCGGGGGAUCGCAAGACCUCGCGCGAAUGGAGCGGCCGAUGGCAGAUUAGGUAGUUGGUGAGGUAAAGGCUCACCAAGCCUGCGAUCUGUAGCUGGUCUGAGAGGACGACCAGCCACACUGGGACUGAGACACGGCCCAGACUCCUACGGGAGGCAGCAGUGGGGAAUUUUGGACAAUGGGCGCAAGCCUGAUCCAGCAAUGCCGCGUGCAGGAUGAAGGCCUUCGGGUUGUAAACUGCUUUUGUACGGAACGAAACGGUCCUUUCUAAUACAAGGGGCUAAUGACGGUACCGUAAGAAUAAGCACCGGCUAACUACGUGCCAGCAGCCGCGGUAAUACGUAGGGUGCGAGCGUUAAUCGGAAUUACGGGGCGUAAAGCGUGCGCAGGUGGUUUGUUAAGCACGAUGUGAAAUCCCCGAGCUCAACUUGGGAAUUGCAUUGUGAACUGGCUAACUAGAGUACGGCAGA
rnacentral:rRNA from 1 species